rnacentral:rRNA from 1 species
CAGUCGCCGCGGGAAUACGAAGGGGGCUAGCGUUGCUCGGAAUCACUGGGCGUAAAGGGUGCGUAGGCGGGUCUUUAAGUCAGGGGUGAAAUCCUGGAGCUCAACUCCAGAACUGCCUUUGAUACUGAAGAUCUUGAGUUCGGGAGAGGUGAGUGGAACUGCGAGUGUAGAGGUGAAAUUCGUAAAUAUUCGCAAGAACACCAGUGGCGAAGGCGGCUCACUGGCCCGAUACUGACGCUGAGGCACGAAAGCGUGGGGAGCAAACAGGAUUAGAUACCCGUGUAGUCCCUGUCUCUUAUAC